UGAGAAUGUUAGAUACGGAAC
rnacentral:miRNA from 1 species